CGCAGCUACCGAAGCCGGCGUGCUCCAGAGCUUGUGCUCCUCUGCGAGAGACGCCACUGCAGGGAGAAGCCCGCACACAGCUGGUCGCCACAGCUAGAGAAAAGCCUGAGCAGCGAGGAAGACCCAGCGCGGCCAAAAGAGAAUCUGAGUAAUUCUGCAAUAUUCACUGUCCCUACUUUGACAAUGGUACUUGUAGCUGACUACCCAGCUUUCUUGUAAAAAUAAAAAUUACUCUGCUGCUGGAGCACCU